ensembl:lncRNA
UCACGGCCCCAUGGCUGUGAAUAGGUGCCUUCAGCUAAUUUUAUGAAAAGGGGCUCUUUCCAAGGCUAAGGUAGAGUAGGGCUUCCUGUAAGAGAGAGAGAGAGAGAGAGAGAGAGGGAGGGGGAAAAGAAGUGUUGCUCUUGAUGCAAUCUUUUCCUCCUCCUUCUUCUCCUCCUCCUCCUCCUCCUCCUCCUCCUCCUCCUCCUUCUCCUUCUCCUUGCGAGCCCUCUGCCUCUCCCUGCCAGCCCCGACAGAUCUCCGCACCGCGGGGGGAGAAGGAUUGUAUCCAUGAAUGUGUGUAUAAUGAACCCAGAAGGAAUGCAGCACUAAAAGAAGCCUUUGUAAUGUUGCUAUUUUAAGGAGACCCUUGGGUUCAGUGAAACAUCAUGACUUACAUCAGCCAAAGCCUUUGAUCAGGGAGGGAAAGGUCUGACAUGGAUGGGGUUGGCAGCCACGCUGCAAGAAUCCCUCAUUGUGCAAGAAGCCAGUCCAAUGACCGACUGUCACCAAGGGCUGAUGCUUUGGACCCAGAAAGACACAAGUGGGAUGGAGAUCAGAGCCCUGGGCUUUUCCCCGCAGACCAGCAACUGGUGCCAUUUCUGGCUGAUUCUCUACUUUUCUCUUCCUAGUGAGGGUCUUUUGUUAUUUAUCAGCUCCUUUCAAAGCAACAGCCUGAGAGAUUUCACAAUACUUUUCACAUAUGGUUACUCAGCCUGGGGCUCUCCACAGCUUAGCUGUUUCAGUGAUAUUUGCACAGCACUGAGCAACAGCAUUCCUGACCUGCAGGAGAAGUGAGUGCCUCAAACCUCCUUUUCUCCAUAUACACAAGAUCUUUUUUUGCUCUUAAAAAACCCCAGACCCCUCUCCCCAUCCCUGCCAGUUGCACGGCAGACUGGAUGUCCCUGGCAGCACACUUGGGCUUGCAUCCAUUUUUCUUCUUUGUGUGUGUGUGCGUUGUCAUCCAAUGCAUGGCCAGAACCAAAGGAAAACUCAUGUGUGUGUUGUCAUCCAAUGCAUGGCCAGAACCAAAGGCAAACUCCAUUUGGGAGGUGAGCAAGGAAAACCCCUCCAAAACAGCCAGGAGCUGAAAAGAUUUGGCAAGCUUUGCAGGAGAAAACUGCCAGCAGGGAAAGACGAGGUGGAGGCAUUACUCUGACAGAAGAAGCUCUGAUUAGCAGAUUAUCACUUAAGUGAUGUUGAUCCCAGCCACGCUGCCUUCCAAAUGAGCCCUUUCACAGCUGCCAGCUGCACCACGGAGUCGUGAAUGUAAAUGAGUGGGCCAGAUCCUCUGCUGGCAUCCAUCGACGUGGCUUUGAUGGACCAUCCUGGAUCUACAACAGCCGGAGGAGUGUGGCUGUCGUGGGAGCCUGACUUGCUAUGCAGAUUUCUUUGAGAGCCUGUGGGAAAGGGCCUGAAGCUGGAUGUACUGCAGGAUAGGGCAGCAUCAACUGCACAGCUGGAGGGACCCUUGAGACUUUGACUUUUGCUGCCAAACAAAGCCAUCUUUUUGCUGAGCUUGUAAACUGUUCCCUGGUACCGUACGCCAGCAUAUAGCAUCCUGCCCUCAUAAAGCUCUACUUAUCUCCAUCCAACUUCUUGGGCUGAGCGUGUGGGAAGCAUGUGAGGGACACUCAUGAGCAGCCUUGCAUUCUCCGAGCUGUGCUUUCCCCUGGGGAAGGCAUACUUGACCUCUGGCCACGUCCAUCCAAUCUGACAGACUGGUCUUCGGAGAAUGGUGACCAAGAAUAAGCUCCAUGUCCCACAUGCCACCUGUUCAUCUGCACCGCUCCCUCUCCAGCAGCUCAUGGGCCAUGCCCAGCCUAUGUGUGACACCUCUCUGGCUGCUCAGAUGGAAAGUAAGAGCUUGGAGAGUGAGGACAGCAUGGAGUUAUGGAAGACAUGGCUACAAGAGCAUUCUUUCUCCAUCUCCAUGUGCUUCUGAAGGACCAGUCUGAUUCUGGCUCCUGCCAAGUUAGGAUAUGCUAUGAUUCUGUGAACACUUUUUGCAGCAAGUCAGCCAUAAGAAACAACAUACUCUCAGACAAUCAAGCCUCCAAAUUAAGGUGGGGAGACUUGUUGUGAAGGAGAUGGUUUUUUUUUUCCUACUGUAGAAGGGAUGUUCAAUGCUAUAGUGACAAGGAACAAUUCUUCAGCCUUAGACAGCAGAAAGAAGAAACAUAAAGAGACUGUACAGUUCUUGGGACACCGAGACAACUAUCUACGUGCUUUGUGGAAGCAGAGACAAGUAUGAGAUUUGGCUUUCUGGGCUAUGAGGGCACACAGCUGGCUCACAUCCAGCUCCCAUCCACCAUUUAGAUAAGAUACUAUUGCUUUUAAUAAAGACAAGUCAAAGAUCUUCUCCUAAGUGCUCUUAAAGAACUCCAGCAUUGUGUCUACAAUAAUCCAUCCGCCUUAAAGGAUCCAGCAGUACAUCACCACCAGUGGAUAUAAGAAGUAAUUAGUCAUCAUUUAGGGAAGUAAGAUUUAACAGUUAUUUUGUUGGCAGAAGUGCCGUGAUAAAAAUGGUACUCUGAAAGUUAUUUGGUAUUUCUCAUUGUUGCCAGAGUUCUGAACAUUUUGAUAGGAUGAACAUAGACUUCGGUAGGAAAGUUGUGGAUUUUUUCCCCUCCAUUUAGUAGAAAUAUAAAUGUUACAAAAUAAAUAAUGAUAGAAUAUAUGUGUAUAUAUUUUCAAUGCAUAUUUUAAAAUGCAUAUGAAAUGCAUUUUUUAAAAUAUUUUGUUCAAAUAUUUUUACUAAUGUUGUAUACCUUGCAUCUGUGAAGAGGGUUAUCCCUUAAACAUCCUUUCUUCAGACAGUACUGGGAUUCAUCCUCAGGCCCCGUUAUCUUGCUCUACGUUUCCUAGAGUCCAUCUAUAUAAUAAAUCAGAAUACUGCAUGGUUACACAUCGUAAUUAUUUUUUAAAAUUAUUUUUUAUUUUUUUGCUGAUUGGGGAAAUGGUGAAAACUGGUUUUUGCAUAUUUCAACAAUGUUACUCAGCCAAGUAAAAGAACAAGGGAGCAGAAUGGAAGAGAAAUGAAGAAAUGGAAGGAAGGAAGGAAGGAAGGAAGGAAGGAAG